UAGGGAAUCUUCCGCAAUGGACGCAAGUCUGACGGAGCAACGCCGCGUGAGUGAAGAAGGAUUUCGGUUCGUAAAACUCUGUUGUUAGAGAAGAACAGCGCAUAGAGUAACUGUUAUGCGUGUGACGGUAUCUAACCAGAAAGCCACGGCUAACUACGUGCCAGCAGCCGCGGUAAUACGUAGGUGGCAAGCGUUGUCCGGAUUUAUUGGGCGUAAAGCGAGCGUAGGCGGUCAAUUAAGUCUGAUGUGAAAGCCCGCGGCUCAACCGGGGAGGGUCAUUGGAAACUUGUAGGCUUGAGUGCAAAAGAGGGGAGUGGAAUUCCAUGUGUAGCGGUGAAAUGCGUAGAUAUAUGGAGAAACACCAGUGGCGAAAGCGACUCUCUGGUCUGUAACUGACGCUGAGGCUCGAAAGCGUGGGUAGCAAACAGG
rnacentral:rRNA from 1 species